CCCUUAGAUGUCCUGGGCUGCACGCGCGCUACACUGAUGUGUCCAGUAAGCACCUAACCUGUUCCGAGAGGAGCGGGUAACCUUAGCAAAGCACAUCGUGAUGGGGAUAGAUUAUUGCAAUUAUUAGUCUUGAACGAGGAAUUCCUAGUAAGCACAAGUCAUCAGCUUGUGUUGAUUACGUCCCUGCCCUUUGUACACACCGCCCGUCGCUCCUACCGAUUGAAUGUUCCGGUGAGCUCUUCGGACUGCGCGGUCUGCAGUUUCUGCGUUCCGUGCGGAAAGUUGUGCAAACCUUAACAUUUAGAGGAAGGAGAAGUCGUAACA
rnacentral:rRNA from 1 species